rnacentral:lncRNA from 1 species
AACAAUGUUGUGACCUUCAAUGACAUGAAAUAGGUUAUACAUAUUGGUGAGCCAUCAAAUUCAAAGAAAAUGUGUAUUACUCCUAUUCAGAAAAUAAACUUUAGAAUGUCAGGCAACACGUCUCAACAUUUUGUCAAACAUGUUUACCAGAAAGUAGAAUGCACAAUGCCUGGUAACAUGUCUCCACAUCUUGUCAAACAUGUUUACUAGAAAGCGGAAUGUGUGAAAACAAGCUUC